rnacentral:snRNA from 1 species
UUUAAGUCAGAAAUUUUUAGGUU